UCCUCGUUACUUCCGCUUUGGUUCGUGUCGAAGAAAUUAGUCGUGGCCAUCUUUGCGAUCAAGUUCUGGUGAGUCAUCAUCACACCCUUGACUCUCCCGGUGGUUCCCGAAGAAUACAAUAUCGCAGCCGUGUCGGACUGAUUUACCUUGACUAUUUUAUUAAAAUCGUUAA